CUUUCUUCCUCGCCGCCACCCACUUCCUUUUCUUCCUCACUGAUUCUGUGCCCUAGCCGCCAGCAACCGAGCCGCCAGUUCUCGGUUCCCGAUCGCGACCCCGGUGUUUCCCUUGUGCCCGAGCAUUGCUGACACCGAGCAGGAGCCGAGCGAUUUCUUGCCCUAGGUGCCGACGACGCACCUCUUUGCCCUAGCGCCGGGCCGCCGUCGAGCCCUAGUUCUCCGGCCGACUCUUCCUUCCCGAGCCGCACCAGGCGAUGCCAUCACUUGAGGCCGGACGGAGCAGUGCAUACCCCUACUCCAAUUGCCCAGAUUCGGUAGCCAAUUUGUUCCUCUGCCUAGUGUCAGUAAACAAGCCUUCUUCCCUCUGUAUUGUCGUCGGCCACAAGAUUUCGAGCAUCAACAGAUUUCUAUAGCCUAUUGACAGAGAGGAAGAAGAUUUGGGUAAGGCAGCAGCAAUAUACCUUUGCUGGCAACAACAAAUCGUGUGUGUGGAUCAACAAUCAAGGCUGUGAAUUUAGGUUGAUGCUGUCAGGAG